rnacentral:tRNA from 1 species
GCCCGGUUAGCUCAGUUGGUUAGAGCGCCUGGUUGUGGUCCAGGAGGUCCCCUGUUCGAACCAGGGAUCGGGUACCA